CCGGGGCUAAUACCGGAUGGUUGUCUGAACCGCAUGGUUCAGACAUAAAAGGUGGCUUCGGCUACCACUUACAGAUGGACCCGCGGCGCAUUAGCUAGUUGGUGAGGUAACGGCUCACCAAGGCGACGAUGCGUAGCCGACCUGAGAGGGUGAUCGGCCACACUGGGACUGAGACACGGCCCAGACUCCUACGGGAGGCAGCAGUAGGGAAUCUUCCGCAAUGGACGAAAGUCUGACGGAGCAACGCCGCGUGAGUGAUGAAGGUUUUCGGAUCGUAAAGCUCUGUUGUUAGGGAAGAACAAGUGCCGUUCAAAUAGGGCGGCACCUUGACGGUACCUAACCAGAAAGCCACGGCUAACUACGUGCCAGCAGCCGCGGUAAUACGUAGGUGGCAAGCGUUGUCCGGAAUUAUUGGGCGUAAAGGGCUCGCAGGCGGUUUCUUAAGUCUGAUGUGAAAGCCCCCGGCUCAACCGGGGAGGGUCAUUGGAAACUGGGGAACUUGAGUGCAGAAGAGGAGAGUGGAAUUCCACGUGUAGCGGUGAAAUGCGUAGAGAUGUGGAGGAACACCAGUGGCGAAGGCGACUCUCUGGUCUGUAACUGACGCUGAGGAGCGAAAGCGUGGGGAGCGAACAGGAUUAGAUACCCUGGUAGUCCACGCCGUAAACGAUGAGUGCUAAGUGUUAGGGGGUUUCCGCCCCUUAGUGCUGCAGCUAACGCAUUAAGCACUCCGCCUGGGGAGUACGGUCGCAAGACUGAAACUCAAAGGAAUUGACGGGGGCCCGCACAAGCGGUGGAGCAUGUGGUUUAAUUCGAAGCAACGCGAAGAACCUUACCAGGUCUUGACAUCCUCUGACAAUCCUAGAGAUAGGACGUCCCCUUCGGGGGCAGAGUGACAGGUGGUGCAUGGUUGUCGUCAGCUCGUGUCGUGAGAUGUUGGGUUAAGUCCCGCAACGAGCGCAACCCUUGAUCUUAGUUGCCAGCAUUCAGUUGGGCACUCUAAGGUGACUGCCGGUGACAAACCGGAGGAAGGUGGGGAUGACGUCAAAUCAUCAUGCCCCUUAUGACCUGGGCUACACACGUGCUACAAUGGACAGAACAAAGGGCAGCGAAACCGCGAGGUUAAGCCAAUCCCACAAAUCUGUUCUCAGUUCGGAUCGCAGUCUGCAACUCGACUGCGUGAAGCUGGAAUCGCUAGUAAUCGCGGAUC
rnacentral:rRNA from 1 species